UUGCUUUGGCAGUACAUGUACUAAAAUUGGAACCACACAGAGAUUAGCAUGGCCUCUGUGCAAGGACGACACGCAAAUUCAUGAAACGAUUUACAGUUUU
rnacentral:snRNA from 1 species